GAUCAUUCAGAAGUAUAUGUUCGAGCACAUCAAAGAUCGAUCAAGCCUCAAAAAUAUCCUGUCUAGUUGUGUAAAAGCUAAGGAAUAAAAUUCCAGAAUGAACAUAAAAUAUAUUGCUGUCAUGUUGUUACUUCUGGUCGAUGUAAAAGAAACUUUCUCAUCAAGUUCGAAUUGCAAACAGAAACAAAUGGCGUGUUUUAGCAGUGCAAGAAGAUGUACCAUAAGAUGUGACACUAUUCAAUCAUGUAAUGAGUGUAAUAGUAAAAGAAAGUCUUGUUUGAUUAUUUGUCUAUCGAAAAAAAUGAAACUCAAACGUAAAA